AUUUAAGGACCGUUAGCCUAAUAAAUCUUUUUUGUUUUUGUUUUUUUGUUUAAGAUGAGAAUUGAAGUUACUAAUGACUCUUGAAGUCAACGAAUUUUUUGACAGAACGGUAAGGACGACAGUGAAACAUGAGUAAAAAUAUUAGGGCUAUAGAAUUUAAUAACAGAAAGAAUAUACCAAAGUGAAACACAUGUACAAAUUCAGGGAUCAUUGCCCUAAUUAAGCCAAACUCUAAAUCAUUUAUUUGCAGAUUACCCUCUAGUUCGUGCUGUUUGGAGUUGUGUGCAGUCCUACUCCUCCUCCAUCUAGUGACCUAGUACAUUGGUUACAAAACUCUGUCCUAAAUAUUCAAAUUGGUGGUGACAGUGAGCUUCUUCUAAGCAAGUUGCUUCUCAUUUGCUGGCAAGUUUGGGAGUCUAGGAAUCCGAAGAUUUUCAACCAAGAAAACCCUCAUCCUGUUAGAGUGAUACACAAGGCUGCUUCUAUAGGAGCUAGUUUCUGGGAAGCUAGCGUCAUUUUGAAAAACC
rnacentral:lncRNA from 1 species